rnacentral:rRNA from 1 species
GACGAACGCUGGCGGCGUGCUUAACACAUGCAAGUCGAACGGAAAGGCCCUUCGGGGUACUCGAGUGGCGAACGGGUGAGUAACACGUGGGUGAUCUGCCCUGCACUUUGGGAUAAGCCUGGGAAACUGGGUCUAAUACCGAAUAUGAUCAUCAGCUUCAUGGUUGGUGGUGGAAAGCUUUUGCGGUGUGGGAUGGGCCCGCGGCCUAUCAGCUUGUUGGUGGGGUAAUGGCCUACCAAGGCGACGACGGGUAGCCGGCCUGAGAGGGUGACCGGCCACAAUGGGACUGAGAUACGGCCCAGACUCCUACGGGAGGAAGCAGUGGGGAAUAUUGCACAAUGGGCGCAAGCCUGAUGCAGCGACGCCGCGUGAGGGAUGACGGCCUUCGGGUUGUAAACCUCUUUCAGCACAGACGAAGCGCAAGUGACGGUAUGUGCAGAAGAAGGACCGGCCGACUACGUGCCAGCAGCCGCCGUAACAC